GACAGAGGGUGCAAACGUUGUUCGGAAUUACUGGGCGUAAAGCGCGUGUAGGCGGCUACGCAAGUCGGAUGUGAAAGCCCUUGGCUCAACCGAGGAAGUGCAUUCGAAACUGCGCAGCUUGAGUCCCGGAGAGGAUGGUGGAAUUCUCGGUGUAGAGGUGAAAUUCGUAGAUAUCGAGAGGAACACCGGUGGCGAAGGCGGCCAUCUGGACGGUGACUGACGCUGAGACGCGAAAGCAUGGGGAGCAAACAGG
rnacentral:rRNA from 1 species